UCCUCUGCAGCAAUGCGAUUUGACUCUUGUCUUUGUUGACCGAGUUUAAAGGGAGCUAGGGAAUGGUCAGUUUAGACUAGCCCGAGUGCUAAGCAUUCUUGGGUCUAGCGCUGGAUUGCUCAUUUGAUUUAUUUUUAUU
rnacentral:misc_RNA from 1 species